GCAAGUCGAGGGGCAGCACGGUGUAGCAAUACACGGGUGGCGACCGGCGCACGGGUGAGUAACGCGUAUGCAACCUGCCUACUACAAGGGGAUAACCCGUUGAAAGACGGACUAAUACCCUAUAACACAGGGAAUCCGCAUGGAUAUAUUUGUUAAAGACUAAUCGGUAGUAGAUGGGCAUGCGUUCCAUUAGCUUGUUGGUGAGGUAACGGCUCACCAAGGCAACGAUGGAUAGGGGAACUGAGAGGUUGAUCCCCCACACUGGAACUGAGACACGGUCCAGACUCCUACGGGAGGCAGCAGUGAGGAAUAUUGGUCAAUGGACGAGAGUCUGAACCAGCCAAGUCGCGUGAAGGAAGACGGCCCUACGGGUUGUAAACUUCUUUUGUAAGGGAAUAAAGAGUCUUACGAGCUAAGACGUUGCAGGUACCUUACGAAUAAGGAUCGGCUAACUCCGUGCCAGCAGCCGCGGUAAUACGGAGGAUCCGAGCGUUAUCCGGAUUUAUUGGGUUUAAAGGGUGCGCAGGCGGCAUGUUAAGUCGGCGGUGAAAUUUUGCAGCUCAACUGUAAAAGAGCCUUCGAAACUGGCAAGCUUGAGUGUGGAUGAAGUAGGCGGAAUUUGUGGUGUAGCGGCGAAAUGCAUAGAUAUCACAAAGAACACCGAUUGCGCAGGCAGCUUACUAAACCAUAACUGACGCUCAUGCACGAAGGCGUGGGGAUCAAACAGGAUUAGAUACCCUGGGUAGUCCACGCAGUAAACGAUGAUUACUGGCUGUUUGCGAUACAAUGUAAGCGGCUGAGCGAAAGCGUUAAGUAAUCCACCUGGGGAGUACGUUCGCAAGAAUGCAACUCAAGGAAUUGACGGAA
rnacentral:rRNA from 1 species